UUUGGGAUUGACGCCACAUGUCU
rnacentral:miRNA from 1 species